rnacentral:rRNA from 1 species
GACGAACGCUGGCGGCGUGCCUAAUACAUGCAAGUAGAACGCAGUUGCGAACGGGUGAGGAACGCGUAGGUAACUGCCGCAGAGCGGGGGAUAACUAUUGGAAACGAUAGCUAAUACCGCAUACUGUGAGAGGGACCUGCGUUGUAUUAGCUAGGUGGUGAGGUAAAGGCUCACCAAGGCGACGAUACAUAGCCGACCGUGGAGGGUGAUGCGACCCCCGGGGACUUAGACCCGGGCCCGACUGCCACCGGAGGGAGCAAGAGGGAAUCUUCGGGAAUGGACCGAAGUCCGACGAAGCAACUGCGGGUGAGGGAAGAAGGUUUUCGGAUAGGAAAGACCCGUUGUGAUAGAAGCGGUAACUAGCCAGAAAGGGACGGCUAACUACGUGCCAGCAGCCGCGGUAAUUC